AGGGGGCCGUUGACCUUUAACGCAUGGUAAAUAUUGGAGGUCUUGUCCAAAUUUCUCUCUGAAAUUUUCAAAGUUAGGGAGAAUUCUUUUUGCUCAAAAUCUUUAAGCACUUUUGGAAACUUGACUUCACUUUGAUCCUAUAAGAUGAAAAGAAAAUGUGAAUUAUACAAAAUAAGUAGUGUAUUAUAUGAAACCAUAAAAUAUUUUCUUACAUAUUCUUCUUCAUUCUCGAGAUCAAAAGCAUUUUUUCCAAUAAUACGUUGAAUCUCAUCAUC
rnacentral:lncRNA from 1 species